AUUGAACGCUGGCGGCAGGCCUAACACAUGCAAGUCGAACGAGUGGCGGACGGGUGAGUAAUGUCUGGGAAACUGCCCGAUGGAGGGGGAUAACUACUGGAAACGGUAGCUAAUACCGCAUACCAUCGGAUGUUCCCAGAUGGGAUUAGCUUGUAGGUGAGGUAACGGCUCACCUAGGCGACGAUCCCUAGCUGGUCUGAGAGGAUGACCAGCCACACGGGAACUGAGACACGGGCCAGACUCCUACGGGAGGCAGCAGGGGGGAAUAUUGAACAAUGGGAGCAAGCCUGAUGCAGCCAGGCCGCGUGGAUGAAGAAGGCGUUAGGGUUGUAAAGUAAUUGCAGCGGGGAGGCGUGACCCGCAGAAGAAGCACCGGCUAACUCCGUGCCAGAAGCAGCGGUAAUUC
rnacentral:rRNA from 1 species